rnacentral:rRNA from 1 species
GGCCYUUGGGUUGUAAACYCCUUUYGUUGGGGAAGAAAWGCGUUCAGGUCAAUACCCUGGACGCUUGACGGUACCCGACGAAUAAGCUCCGGCUMACUCCGUGCCWGCAGCCGCGGUAAUWCGGGGGGAGCAAGCGUUGUUCGGAAUUACUGGGCGUAAAGGGCGUGUAGGCGGCUAGAUAASUGAGAUGUGAAAGGUCUCGGCUCACCCSAGGACGUGCAUCUCAUACUGUUUAGYUUGAGUACGGGAGAGGAUGGGGGAACUCCUGGUGUAGCGGUGAAAUGCGUAGAUAUCAGGAGGAACACCRKUGGCGAAGGCGCCCAUCUGGCCCGAUACUGACGCUGAGGCGCGAAAGCUAGGGGAGCGAACGGGAUUAGAUACCCCGGUAGUCCUAGCCGUAAACGGUGAUCACUAGGUGUUGGAGGCAUUGACCCCUCCAGUGCSGCARCUAACGCMUUAAGUGAUCCGCCUGGGGAGUACGGCCGCAAGGCUGAAACUCARAGGAAUUGACGGGGGCCCGCACAAGCGGUGGAGCAUGUGGUUUAAUUCGACGCAACGCGAAGAACCUUACCCAGGCUUGACAUGCUUAGGACCGGUGUGGAAACACACCUUUCCUUCGGGACCUUUGCACAGGUGCUGCAUGGCUGUCGUCAGCUCGUGUCGUGAGAUGUUGGGUUAAGUCCCGCMACGAGCGCAACCCUUUGUCYUUAGUUGCUAACA